CAGCAGCCGCGGUAAUACGAAGGGGGCUAGCGUUGUUCGGAUUUACUGGGCGUAAAGCGCACGUAGGCGGACUUUUAAGUCAGGGGUGAAAUCCCGGGGCUCGACCCCGGAACUGCCUUUGAUACUGGGAGUCUUGAGUUCGAGAGAGGUGAGUGGAAUUGCGAGUGUAGAGGUGAAAUUCGUAGAUAUUCGCAGGAACACCAGUGGCGAAGGCGGCUCACUGGCUCGAUACUGACGCUGAGGUGCGAAAGCGUGGGAAGCAAACAGGAUUAGAUACCCCCGUAGUCCCUGUCUCUUAUAC
rnacentral:rRNA from 1 species